GAUGAACGCUGGCGGCGUGCUUAACACAUGCAAGUCGAACGGAAAGGCCCUGCUUUUGUGGGGUGCUCGAGUGGCGAACGGGUGAGUAACACGUGAGUAACCUGCUCUUGACUUUGGGAUAACUUAAGGAAACUGGGGCUAAUACCGGAUAGGAGAUCCUGUUGGAUGGUGGGGGGUGGAUAGUUUCGGCGGUCGGGGAUGGACUCGCGGCUUAUGAGCUUGUUGGUGGGGUAGUGGCUUACCAAGGCUUUGACGGGUAGCCGGCCUGAGAGGGUGACCGGCCACAUUGGGACUGAGAUACGGCCCAGACUCCUACGGGAGACAGCAGUCGGGAAUAUUGCACAAUGGGCGGAAGCCUGAUGCAGCAACGCCGCGUGCGGGAUGACGGCCUUCGGGUUGUAAACCGCUUUCGCCUGUGACGAAGCGUGAGUGACGGUAAUGAGUAAAGAAGCACCGGCUAACUACGUG
rnacentral:rRNA from 1 species